rnacentral:rRNA from 1 species
GACGAACGCUGGCGGCGUGCUUAACACAUGCAAGUCGAACGAAGUGGCGAACGGGUGAGUAAUACGUAGGUAACCUGCCCUCAUCUUUGGGAUAAGCCUUGGAAACAGGGUCUAAUACCGAAUAAAGGGGGGUGGGCUGGCGGCCUAUCAGCUUGUUGGGGGGGUGAUGGCUGACCAAGGCGGUGACGGGUAGCCGGCCUGAGAGGGUGACCGGCCACAGUGGGACUGAGACACGGCCCAGACUCCUACGGGAGGCAGCAGUGGGGAAUAUUGCACAAUGGGCGAAAGCCUGAUGCAGCCAUGCCGCGUGUGUGAAGAAGGCCUUCGGGUUGUAAAGCACUGUCAGCGAAGAGGCGGUACUCGCAGAAGAAGCACCGGCUAACUCCGUGCCAGCCGCCGCGGUAAUAC